GCACACACAGGUCAGCCUGAAGAGGGAGAAGGAAAAGAGGGCAAAGGACAAAAGAUGGCGACAUGAUGAGUAUGGACAGCAGUAGAAUGACAAGAAAGGUGGGAAAGAGAGUGGGAAGACACUACAAGGACUCAACCUAUGCGGGGCACACCCUCUACCAGCAUUGACAGGAACAUCGUACAUCUCGUUAAGGUGGUUGUCCAGGAGGCUCUGCUGGGAGUGGGCCUGGAUGAUCUGGCUCAAGGUCUUCCUGCUCAGCUGCUUGGGGGGCAGAGCUGGAGGCUGGCCGUC